rnacentral:rRNA from 1 species
UACGAAGGGAGCUAGCGUUGUUCGGAAUCACUGGGCGUAAAGCGCACGUAGGCGGCUUCUUAAGUCAGGGGUGAAAUCCUGGAGCUCAACUCCAGAACUGCCUUUGAUACUGGAGAUCUCGAGUCCGGAAGAGGUGAGUGGAACUCCGAGUGGUAGAGGUGAAAUUCGUAGAUAUUCGGAAGAACACCAGUGGCGAAGGCGGCUCACUGGUCCGGUACUGACGCUGAGGUGCGAAAGCGUGGGGAGCGAACAGG